GAUGAAGAACGCAGUGAAAUGCGAUACGUAAUGUGAAUUGCAAAUUCAGUGAAUCAUCGAGUCUUUGAACGCACAUUGCGCCCCCUGGUAUUCCGGGGGGCAUGCCUGUCCGAGCGUCAUUUCUGCCCUCAAGCACGGCUUGUGUGUUGGGCCCCGUCCUCCGAUUCCGGGGGACGGGCCCGAAAGGCAGCGGCGGCACCGAGUCCGGUCCUCGAGCGUAUGGGGCUUUGUCACCCGCUCUGUAGGCCCGGCCGGCGCUUGCCGAUCAACCCAAAUUUUUAUCCAGGUUGACCUCGGAUCAGGUAGGGAUACCCGCUGAACUUAAGCAUAUCAAUAAGCGGAGGA
rnacentral:misc_RNA from 1 species